rnacentral:rRNA from 1 species
CAUAGCGUAAUGAAGCGAACCGGGGGAACUGAAACAUCUAAGUACCCCGAGGAAAAGAAAUCAACCGAGAUUCCCCCAGUAGCGGCGAGCGAACGGGGAGCAGCCCAGAGUCUGAAUCAGCUUGUGUGUUAGUGGAACGGUCUGGAAAGUCCGACGGUACAGGGUGAUAGUCCCGUACACCAAAAUGCACAGGUUGUGAACUCGAAGAGUAGGGCGGGACACGUGGUAUCCUGUCUGAAUAUGGGGGGACCAUCCUCCAAGGCUAAAUACUCCUGACUGACCGAUAGUGAACCAGUACCGUGAGGGAAAGGCGAAAAGAACCCCGGCGAGGGGAGUGAAAAAGAACCUGAAACCGUGUACGUACAAGCAGUGGGAGCCUCUUUAUGGGGUGACUGCGUACCUUUUGUAUAAUGGGUCAGCGACUUAUAUUCUGUAGCAAGGUUAACCGUAUAGGGGAGCCGAAGGGAAACCGAGUCUUAACUGGGCGUUAAGUUGCAGGGUAUAGACCCGAAACCCGGUGAUCUAGCCAUGGGCAGGUUGAAGGUUGGGUAACACUAACUGGAGGACCGAACCGACUAAUGUUGAAAAAUUAGCGGAUGACUUGUGGCUGGGGGUGAAAGGCCAAUCAAACCGGGAGAUAGCUGGUUCUCCCCGAAAGCUAUUUAGGUAGCGCCUCGUGAAUUCAUCUUCGGGGGUAGAGCACUGUUUCGGCUAGGGGGUCAUCCCGACUUACCAACCCGAUGCAAACUGCGAAUACCGAAGAAUGUUAUCACGGGAGACACACGGCGGGUGCUAACGUCCGUCGUGAAGAGGGAAACAACCCAGACCGCCAGCUAAGGUCCCAAAGUCAUGGUUAAGUGGGAAACGAUGUGGGAAGGCACAGACAGCCAGGAUGUUGGCUUAGAAGCAGCCAUCAUUUAAAGAAAGCGUAAUAGCUCACUGGUCGAGUCGGCCUGCGCGGAAGAUGUAACGGGGCUAAACCAUGCACCGAAGCUGCGGCAGCGACACUAUGUGUUGUUGGGUAGGGGAGCG